AAGUGCACCUCAGCUGCUGGGUGAUGUCAGGAGAUGCUGUCCCAUUGACUCCCAGUUGUGGGAGCCACCCCAGCAGCAAGCACACAAGCAAGGAAGUGCCAUCCAUCCAGAAUAAGCCACCAAAACAAAGAACAAACAGCAAGCAGGAAAAUGAAGGAGCCAGCAGACCCACACCAGCUUUGUCAGGAAGGAGAUAUGCAAACACCCUUCACCAAUGCUUGGCCAAUGGAGCAACUGGAGAUGUUUUCACAGCUGCCUGUUGACAGUUCACAGAUUGAUCAGAGCAACAGACAGGCUGAAGCUGGAUGGAGGACAUGUAGAUCAGAGACAGAGCAGUCACGACAAUGCUACUGAAUAUCUGAGGACCCAG